rnacentral:tRNA from 1 species
GGACCCUUAGCUCAUUUGGUUAGAGCAACAGACUCAUAAUCUGUGGGUACUCGGUUCGAUCCCGAGAGGGUCCA